UACGGGGGGGGCAAGCGUUGUUCGGAUUUACUGGGCGUAAAGGGCGCGUAGGCGGCCCGCCAAGUCACUUGUGAAAUCUCCGGGCUUAACCCGGAGCGGCCAAGUGAUACUGACGGGCUGGAGUGCGGAAGGGGCCACCGGAAUUCUCGGUGUAGCGGUGAAAUGCGUAGAUAUCGAGAGGAACACCUGCGGCGAAGGCGGGUGGCUGGGCCGACACUGACGCUGAGGCGCGAAAGCCAGGGGAGCGAACGGG
rnacentral:rRNA from 1 species